GAUGAACGCUAGCGGCAGGCCUAAUACAUGCAAGUCGGACGGGAUUCAGGAGCUUGCUUCUGAUGAGAGUGGCGCACGGGUGCGUAACUCGUAUGUAACCUACCUUUAUCAGGGGGAUAGCCUCUCGAAAGAGAGAUUAAGCCCGCAUAAAAUCACAGCACAGCAUUGUGUAAUGAUCAAAUAUUUAUAGGAUAAAGAUGGGCAUGCGGAACAUUAGCUAGAUGGCGGGGUAACGGCCCACCAUGGCGACGAUGUUUAGGGGAUCUGAGAGGAUGGCCCCCCACACUGGUACUGAGACACGGACCAGACUCCUACGGGAGGCAGCAGUAAGGAAUAUUGGUCAAUGGGCGGAAGCCUGAACCAGCCAUGCCGCGUGCAGGAAGACGGCCCUACGGGUUGUAAACUGCUUUUAUACGGGAAUAAACCCAGAUACGUGUAUCUGGCUGAAUGUACUGUAAGAAUAAGGAUCGGCUAACCCCGUG
rnacentral:rRNA from 1 species